GGGAAGGUGGCCGAGCGGUCGAAGGCGCGCCCCUGCUAAGGGCGUAUGGGCUGAAAUCCAUCGAGGGUUCAAAUCCCUCCCUUCCCG
rnacentral:tRNA from 1 species